CAAAUUUUCCAGGAGGUUGCCAAGACUAUUGGUUGCUCUAUAAAAACUGAGAACAAUAUCGCAUUGAUGAAGACAAUUCCUAUGCAACUCAUUGAACAUGGAGAAAUAGAGCUGUUGCACACAUUGAUCCUGAAGGUCUGGAAUGAAGAUGCUUGGCAGCCUAGUCUUCAUCCUUCUAUGAGAAAUGUAGGCAACACUGGGAAAAUUGCUGGAUAUUUCCAGAUGUGUGUGAAAAGAGAGAACAUGGAGGAAAUCACUGCCCAAACCUGAGGCACAAAGAGCUAUCCAGGAAAACUGGGAGGCAAAUUAAAAGGACAAUAAUAUCAUCAUCAUCAUCAUCAUCAUCAUCAUCAUCAUCAUCAUCAUCGUCAUCAUAUUUAUCAUGUUAAUAUCAUCAUCAACAACAGCAACAACAGCAAUUGUUAAGGAAAGUGUAAACAUUAAAACCAGACUCAAGUAUAGCAGAGCUGCUACAAUUAAUUUCAGAGGCAUUUUAACAUUCUAGUUAAUGAGCUAAAUUCAAUAAAGUCAAUAAAGAGCAAAUGACAUGUAAGAAACAGAGGAGCAAUGCUGGUAGAUUAAUGGAAAUUAUAAGAGAUGUAAACACAAACAAGCAACAAUGACAACAACAAACCUACUGAAGAUCAAAAAUAUAGUAACAGAAAUGAAGAAUGACUUUGGUGGGCUCAUGUGGUAGAAGAACAUUGGAAUGGAAGGAAGAGCUUCCCUCAAGAGAAACUUCCAGAUUUGAAACACAAAAGGAAAAAAAAAAGACUGAGAAAGCGAAGUCAGUACAAAACAACAGCUGAAACCUGUGGGACACCUACGGAGUAGAGCAUAUGUGCGCCGGAAACACAAAAUGGUAAGAAAAAAAGGAAGAAAAAAUUGAAAUGAUGAUAUGAAAAUUUCCACAAGUUAUUAUUUGGUACUAACCCACCAAUCCUGGAAACUCAAAAAAUACCAAAUAUUCAUGCCUGGAGAGAUGGCUCAAUGAAUAUGAGCACUUGUUAUUACAGAGGACCCAGGUUCAAAUCUUAGAACCUACAUGGUGUCUCCUUACUGUCUGUUACUCCAGUUCCAGGACAUUUAAUGCCAGCUUCUAAAUUCAAUAGGUACCAGUAAACGUGUACUGGUAUGAAUAUCCAAGAAGAGAAAACACUCAGGCAUACAAAAAAGUAAAUAAAUUUUAAAAAUACAGAGUAGACUAAAAGCCUAAUAUGUGAAGCUUACUACAGCAUAUUAUAUUCAUAGAGGAGAAUACCAGCAAUAAAAAAAUGCUGAAUGAAGACAGUGGAAAAAUAAGCUAUUGUUUCUUCAGAAGUAAAGGCAAAUCACAACAUUUAAGGUCUCCCUAGACGCCCCACAAGGCAAGUUGACUGAAAUCUUUUAAUGUUCAGAGAAAGAGGGGUUGAAAUUCUAUACCCUGUGGAAUUAUUAUUUAAAAGUAAAAGAUAAAUGCAAAUUUUCAGAGUUAAACCAAAAUAGUGAGGCUGUUGUCAGAUCAGUCCUGAAAGAAAUGCUAUGAGAACUUCCAUAGAGGCAAAAGUCACAAGCUGAGAUCUACAUAAAAAGAAAAAUACCAGAAAAGGAAUAAGAGAAAGUAAAAUAAAAUCAUGUAUUUGUAAAGAUCUCAAUUGAUAUAGCAAUUUAUUCAAAAUAGAAGUGGGCCCGAAUUGGAAAGUGUAUAUGUUUACUAAUGUAUUUUUUUGAAAAUUCUUUCUCUUAGUCUUUGUUGUUACAAUAUAAUUAUGUAAUUUCUUUCUUUUUUUUCCUCCAUGAAAUCCUCCCAUAUACUGUCUUUGUUCUCUUUCAUGCCCAUGGCCUAUUUUUCAUUAAUUUGUAUUGCAUACAUAUGCAUUCUUAAAUACAUAAAUACAACAUGUUCAGUCUCUAUAAUGUUACUUGUAUCUGAGUCUUUGAGGCUGACCGGUGGGUAUUGGAUAACCAGUUGCUUUCAUUCACCUUGGAGAAGACUUUCUCUUGGUUUUAGCACUCUUUUGCUGCCUGUAGUAUUUUGUAUAGGAUUGAGGACUCCUAGGCUCCCUCUACUCCUUCAAUCCUGUCAACUUUAUUAUAAGUAUUGUUUUUUUGCAUUCUCACCAAUAAUUGAAAUGAAUGACAGUGAUGAUAUAAGGAAGAGAAGGAAGGAAUUGGAACUAUUUGGUUGUUAUAAUAAUAGGACUCUAGUCACAAACCAAUGUAUUCUCAAGAAGCAGUGUGGUGGUACUGAUACACUUUGAAGGCAUGGUGUCACCAGGAUAUCACUUUGUGAUUCCCAAGCCAUUCACUUCCUGGUAACUUGACAUAGGGUAAAGUGAUCUACACUACAGAAGUAAGGGUGGGAAAUGGUCAAAGGACCUCUUUACCGAUUUUCAUUUUAGGCUGAUUUUAUGUCUCUAAAAGUAGUAGUUUUUCCCAAGAGGUUUCACUUUGUUUAAUUGACAAACCCAUUUGGUUUUCCUUUUAGAGGUGGGGCAAUAGUAUGCUUUUUUCCUUACCAGAAAUUAUCCUUCUAGGUAGGAAUCUUAUAAUAGACAGAAAUCUGGGAGCCCCAUGUGGUUAUCUGAUAAUGAACCUGUUGAAGAUGCAUGGGUGUCAAGACUCCUCCCAGGGCCAGAUAUAUGACUCUAGUCCCUUUUCUCUGAUUAGCAAGUAAAAUUCUGUGGAUCUCAUAAUUUAGUUUACAUGUUGUUAUAGCGCAAGGGAACAGUCCAGCCUCAGUGUCCUCCAAGGUUGCUAAAAUCUAAGUAACUAACUAACAAAGAGGCAUUACAAUUAGUCACAUCAAUAAUUCAGUAACUUUUAUCUCAAUAUCUGAUUAAAUUCUUAAGAUAUGUAAAAUGAUGUUGUAAAGCCUGUGGUAUAACCCACUGGGAGUGGAGCCAGACCUAGGAUACGGUCAUGGGAUAUAUAAGAUAGCAGGCAAAGCCGUUUCUCAACAGGAAAGUAGUUGUCAGUAGAUGAUGGUAGAGCCUUGCUCCAAAAUCCCAGAGGUCUCCUCAAUGCUUGUGUAGCCAGGUUAUGAUAAUAGAAAUUAAGCAAUACUUGAAUCAUAUCUCUGAUCAUAGGAAGAGGGGUCACACUCCCAAAUUGUUAGAAGUUCCUUGACAGAAAACUAAGAAAGAGGAGAUUUUUCAUCAUUAAACCUGUUUAUAAAAACAUGUGGCACUGAAUAUCAAAUCAUCAGAAAAAUGUUAAGUCCUGUUCAGAUAGUUCAUAUGCAGCUUGCUUCUCUACUAAGCUUUCUAUUCUAUAAUUGAAAUUUGGAAUCACCUACUAUUCUAAAAUUUCAAAUUAAUUUUCCUUUUCCACUACUUCAUGUUUUUAUUAACAAGGAAUUAAUUCAUAUAACCAUGAAAACAAAUGAAAUUGGGACUGGAAGACAGCUAAGUGUGUAAAUUGAUGGAUCCACAACUGUAAGGACACAACUUUGAAACCCCAAGAGUCCUGUGUUGUCAGGUGUGGUAGUGCACAUCUGCAAUCCCAACACUCCUAUGGAGAGAUGGGAGGGAGAAGCAGUGAAUCCCAACAAUACCCAACAAUGUCCUCUGACUUCCAUACAUGAACAUCCACACACAUAUCCAUGCACAUGAAUAAAUGACAAGUAAUGGCUACUCAAAUAUUUUUGUAUGACUACCUAGUACUCAUAAAGCCGCAAGAAACAAGCAAUUUCAUGGAGUUGGAAAUUUACUUACUGAGAAAUGUCAAUUCCUAAACGUGAGGCCCCCUCACCUUGUAGGAAAAUAAUCAGUUCACUAACUUCACACUCUUAUUUUUCAUUCAUCUCUUAAGAAGUUUUUCAAAUACCUAUGAAAUCACUGCAUUGCCUUUCUCUUGACACUUAUUUAAUAAAUCCUGUACCUAUUUAAGGACUCAAACCCCAGCCCAAAUGCUCCCUAUGCAGUGUUUAAAAAUGUUGCCAUUACCUAAUGUUCAUAGUGCCCACACCUAUUAGAUUAGUUCAAACUUUUUUUUCUUUUUUGCUUAGCUGCUCUGAUUACCGUUUGCUUAUAGUUUAUUUUUAAUUCUCUUCAUUUGGACUUUAUUUCCUUUGUAGGCUUUAUUUUUUGAUUGUUAUCUUUUAAAAUCUGUCUUUUAUCUAUAAACUACCACCUUUUUAUACCCAAAUUUAGAAACUUGCUCUUGAGUGGUAUCCCAUAAAUGCCCUCUAUUGUUAUUUUUCUAUUGUAUUACUUCAAGGAAUCAAAUAUUACUACAUCUUUCAGUAAAUACGAUAAUGGUCCACUGUAAAAAUUAUGAGUCUUAUCUAAUUUGAGAGGGUCAAUUAAUGAAACAGUCAGGUAACCUGGGAAAUAGUAUCUGAAAUUUUGUGUACAGAAAGGAGUUUCACUUGAGAAAAGUCAGGAAAGAAGAAUUAGGAAGUAAAGAAUUGGAACAGGAAUGUAUUAUAUUAGACAUUGACUAUCAUGAAAUUAUAUUACAAAAGUAAUUGAUUUUUAAAAAAUGCAAAGCCAAAUAUUAGACUCAUUGUCAGGAACAUGGGUUGUUCGGAAAUUUGAUGUAAAAUAAUUUUUGUAUUUUAAAACUGAGUGCUAAAGUACCCAAUAAAGAUAAUCCUCAGUAUGUUAUCUUAAGUUCCCCAUGUGUCUACUUUUUAUAUUAACAUCUCAUGAUUAUUUUGCUUUAGAAUAGAUUUGUGUUUCAUUAGGCUGAAAACUAAAAGUGAAAACAUUAGAAAAUAUGAGAGAUGCAAAGUUUAGUUCCUCAAAUCUAAUAGAACACUGACAAAGAAACUCUAAAAAAGGGAAAAAAAUCUGAGUGCAAAUUAAGACAAAAUGCCUUGUUUGUUAAUGACACCAGUAGGAGAGACACAUAAUAUAUAGCUCUUAUACAUGAAGCUUACAGUGCAUCUUCUAGUCAGAGGUAAGCAAAUUAUGUAUUUCAGCAGCCUUCUCACAUGCCUCUGGCAUUGGUGCAAUUUAUUGGAAUAUUUAUUGGAACUUGUCUGUGGCCAUGUGUCUUUGAAAUCUAUGGCUUGUAUCAGAAGAUCCAGCAAAUGCUAAAAUAUUUCCUCUUUGGUGCUUUGCAUAUAAUACUUUUGCCUCAUGGUCAAUUCUAAUGCAAUGAUAGAUCCUUUGUUUUUUCAUGGGGGUAUAUGUUUAAAUAGAAACUUUGAGGAUUUCUAUCUUUCUUCUAGACAUCUGAUUCAGAGAAUUAUAAAACACAUUUACAAUCACUGUAUCCCAACCUACACAACUGGCAGAAGGCGUCUUUCCCACCAGAGGAAAGGCCAGCUCCCUCAACCCAAGAGAGAUGGCAAAGACUAUUUCUGCCAUCAGGGAAAAAUAUAUCUGCCUUCACAAAUAUUUAAGGUGAGGGACCUGAGAUCUUAGAAGACCUUGUAAGGAACAGGCACAUUGAAGAUCAACACUUUCCUUGAUGAGCUGAUAUGGAAAAGAUGAGUUUAUGUUAAAACAGCUUAAGAAAGACCAAGCAACAUGUCUCUUUAUGGGAUGAAAGUACAAAGGGGGAAAGAAGAGAUCAUAGGGUAAAAGAAGUGAUGGAGUACAUGUGUCAUGAAAGCAGGAAGAGAAGACUUCUCAGAGAGGGGAUGAGUAUGGACAAGAGCAGCCCACAGGAGAUGGGUACUGAGCAGUGCUGUGAAGGAAAAUGAAAAGCUGUGGAUUCCUUCCAGACUAAUAUGGUUUGAUCAAGCAAGACCCCCUGAAGCUGAGAUGAUACAGCCUUACAGACUACAGAAACACGGACUUGCCUUUCCUAGGGGAAACUAAUUGAAU
ensembl:lncRNA